rnacentral:rRNA from 1 species
GACGAACGCUGGCGGCGUGCUUAACACAUGCAAGUCGAACGGAAAGGCCCCUUUGGGGGUCCUCGAGUGGCGAACGGGUGAGUAACACGUGAGUAACCUGCCCUUGACUUCGGGAUAACUUCAGGAAACUGGGGCUAAUACCGGAUAGGAAUCCUUGCUGCAUGGUGGGGGUUGGAAAGCUUCGGCGGUUUUGGAUGGACUCGCGGCUUAUCAGCUUGUUGGUGGGGUAGUGGCUUACCAAGGCUUUGACGGGUAGCCGGCCUGAGAGGGCGACCGGCCACAUUGGGACUGAGAUACGGCCCAGACUCCUACGGGGGGCAGCAGUGGGGAAUAUUGCACAAGGGGCGGAAGCCUGAUGCAGCAACGCCGCGUGCGGGAUGACGGCCUUCGGGUUGGAAACCGCUUUCAGCAGGGGCGAAGCUUGUGGUGACGGUACCUGCAGAAGAAGCACCGGCUAACUACGUG